AAGUAAGUAUAUGUUGUGUAUAAGAUACCCAGUUUAUAGUAUUUUCUUAGCCUAUUUGCACGGUUAUAAGACUUUAAAUGUAUGUGGGGGAAAAAUCCCUGAAAAUUACCAAAGAUGUGACAAUCUAUUCUAUUUAAAAUAUAAUAUUCUGGGCUGGGGCUGUGGCUCUGCAGUAGCAUACUUGCCUGGCAUGUGUGAGGCACUGGGUUCGAUUCUCAGCACCACGUAUAAAUAAAUAAAAUAAAGGUCUAUCAACAACUAAUAUAUAUAUAUAUAUAUAUUUUUUUUUUACAAAAACGUAAUAUUCUAAGAGUUUAUACUGAAAAUUGAACAAUAGGGUGCCAACACAAUGACAUCCACGUGUGAAGAAAGAGUGUUUAAUGACAUGGUGAUUUUACAUAAUAAAUGAACUAAAGCUUUUGUGCCAUAUUGACAGCCGUGGGCACUUCAUACAUUCUAAUAUGAUUGGUUCUUAUAAUUUUGAUUGGAAAAAUUGAACACAACAGGCAAGUAAACAAAGUAUUUCCAGAACAAUGCAGUCAUUACAAAUCACCUUCAGGACAUCAGGGAAUUAAAAACCUUUCAUUUAUAAAAUCACAUUUUCCUGGUAACUUUGAUAGGUUGUGUUUUGAUUUUUCAUUAGGAAAAAUGACAACGAAUGAUUAGCUCUUGCAAUGGGCUGGUGUAAAUGGAAUGGAUUUGUCUCAAGAGAAUGUUUGUCAGGUUUUAAAGAUAAAUUACCAAGCCUAUCCAAGGAAUCACCUUUGUCAGAAAUGAUAAAAUAUAACAAUGAGUAAUCAAUAUCAGGAUUCCAUUAACUUCAUUCAAAUUAUUGACCACGUGACUUAAAAGUUGACCCCACCUUUGGGGAAAUAAUAAGCUGACAUAAUACAUACUUUUACUAUGUAUAUUUUUUUUCUUUUUCCAAUGACUUAGAAUGUCAGUGGUGAAAACUUCAGCAUAAACCUUAAUUACUUACCAAGCCAUAUUUGAUCUUAUUAUAGCCAAGGCUUAGGAAGGAUAAAAGCCACCAUUUAUUGAUACCUAUUGUGUAGAAAGGACUUGACACCCAUGAUUGAAUUUAAUCCUUGAAACAGCCUGUGAUAUUGGAGCCAUUAUCCUAGUCUUACAGAUGAAGACAAUCAGGUUAAAUAACUAAUUCAAGAUCACACAGCCAGGAGCCCAGAAAAAGACACAAGCCCAUAUCUAAAUGACUUCAAAAUCCAUGGUCCUCUCCAUUACUCUAUGCAGGCUUUAAAGUCAGGAGUCCUGGAUUUUCAAGCAUAGUGAAAAUGCAGAUGCUUGAAUCAGACAGAUGUAGGUUUACAUGCACUCUGUGCCACUUGGUGCUGACUUUUACGCUUCUCACCAUGUUUGUGAGAUUGAAAUACAAUUAUAGAGAGUUUGAACCUUGUUAGCUGAUAUUUAAGAUAUAAAAGCUAGAACUAUCCCUGAGGGACCCAAAUGUUUGAUUCCUUCUUAUUUUAGUAACAAAUUAUCUAGAACAUGUUAGCAAACCCCAUGGCCAAAUCAGAUUACCUAUGAGAAACAUUUUAUCCAGAUAUUGAUUUUAGAGAUAUCAUUUUAUACAGGAUGUCAAACUGAAUGACUUAUUUUCCUCACAUUUGUGAUUUUUUACUUCAGUCUUUUCGGGAAUUCAGUUUGGGUUAAUAAGCAAGAUUUAACCUACCAUGCUACUUUUGCAUUUCAUUCAGGUCUUAUGCUUGGUGGAGACUCAGGGUCCCUGAGAACCGACAUGGAAAGAACAGAGAUUCAAAACUUACUCUCUUCACCUGAAUUGAUCAACAACAGCAACAACAUCAACCACCAUAUUAGAUAGCAUUUAUUGUGACCUCAGGAUGGGUCACACACUGUGCUCAGCAUUUUGCUACAUUGGCUUCUUAAGAAUGGGGACAAAAUUUAUACCACUUAUAAUUUGUAGCACUUUACUCUGAAAAUAGUGAGCUUAUGUAGCCAAAGCAGAGAUUAAACAAAGCCCAUUCUUCCUCAGUGGCUAAACUCAACCGCUACAUAAUUUGGGGGAAAUUAUAAGCAGCAUAUCAAAUAUUAUUUAGAUUUGGAUCUUGCUAAGAUUUAUCUUUCCUAUUGUGAUCUUAUCCUAUUUGGUGCUCACAAAUACCCUGUCAAGUAGGGAUGACUAUCCACAUCUGGCAGAUGAGGAGUCUGAGAUUCCCAGAUCUAAACGUCAUUCACAUAAUAUAUCUGUCACCUACCUGGCAAUGGAAAGAUACUCAGAAGUGAAAAUUCUCCCUUACAAACAAAUCUAUUUCUUCCUUCCACCUCCCUCCUGAAAAAGAAAAUGCACACACUCUACAAGAAACAUUGUUUGGUACACACUUUUAUAAAGCUAUACAUUGUAAUUAUGAAAGGGAGAUUGUCAUCAACUUGAAUCAUACUAAAAAUGCUCAUCUUUUUUUAAACGGAAAAAGAGGAAUAAAUACUCAUUAACACUGAAGGCCUUAGAACUUAAAUUCUACUUUGAGAUAGAAAAUUGGUAUGAAAAAAAGUCUGCAUUAGUUGUCCCCAUGUACUCUUCCCGCCCUGCUUCAUUAAAAAUAAUUUAUACAAGUAAUCAUCUUCAAAGCCAAAAGUGAUUUUAGAGGAAACUUCAAUCACUUACCCUUUAGAUUUUAAAAAGCAUCAAGCCUUACCAAACAUGUAGCUAAGUGUUAACUCUCCUCUUUGACGGUACAUACACUGCUUUUUGACCUCCUGGAAGGUCUGCAGAGGACUGAGGGGCCAGGAUGGAGGCAUGAAAAGUGAUUUUGCUUUUCAUAUUGACCUGAAGGCAUUUUGUGUGUGUAUACAGAUGUUUUCACACAUGUAUGUGUAUGCAUGUAUACACAUGUAGAGAGGUGUAUAAAUAGAAAGAUGUUGGAUCACAGCAAAACACUGAAAAACUAGCUCCUUUCAUGCAAUCCUUCCUUCUGGGCUGAUAUAACUUCUUUCAAGAUGUUACUAUACUUGUUCAGUUUAAAACAACUGAAUAUUUCUUUAGAACUUCACAAAUGUACUGACCAUUCCUCGGUUAACAUCAACAUUAGUGUUUUUUACCCAAUUAAGUCCAAUGUGCCAGUAUUUUCUCCAGGAAAACUUGAGGACAAUUAUGACCAUUGCUAACCACAAGAGAAAAAGCUGUAUCAACUAGAAUAACCUAAUCUUCAUAAUAUUUAGCACAUACCUUUUUGCAUGGGCCAGAAACCACCCUGAAGGCCUUAUAUCCACCCAUUAUAAGAUUGAGAGGUCAGUAAUAUUAUUAUUAAUAACUUUGUUAUGAUGAUAUUUAUACAUGAAAUCUAAAAAGUCAAUUUGGUGGUAACAACCAUUCUACUCUCUGCUUCCCAACUGGAGGGCAUGUCUAGUGGUUGAGAGAUGCCAACAGACGGGGGUGCACAUAAGCACGGGACAUGAGGAACAGCCUGAGCAUGGGUGGACAAUGUGUCUCCACUAAAGGAAAGAAUAAUCUCUUUAAUAUGAAAGGAAGACCAAUGGUUUAUUGAUUUAUUUACUGCCUCCUCCUUUUUUCUCUCUUUGUACAUAGUGAAGUUGUUUUGGUAGAAGUUGCUUAGUAGAAUUUUUUUUUUGGGGGGGGGCAGGGGUUCUGGUGACUAAACUCAGAAGCAUGCUAUCAGUGAGAAGCAUCCUCAGCCCUUUUUAUUUUUAUUUAGUUUAUUCGUUUAUUUUUUGAGACAGGGUCUAAGUUGCAGACCUCACUAAGUUCCUGAGGCUGACCUUGAACUUGUCAUGCUUCUGCUUCCCAAGUUGCUGGGAUAAGAGCCAUGUGCCACAAUGCCAGGCUGAAACUUGUAGAACGUAAGACUUAGGUGGAACUUGAGAACCUUAAUCCUGCCUUAUGCCUCUCACAAAUAUCAGUAAGUCAAUAAAUAAUUAUGUACUUCUGGUCAAUGAGUGUAUGAAAUGGAGGUGGUCAGCCAUGGCCUUAGGAUCAAACAGAUCCAGACCAAAUUCUAAUGCUGCCACAUUUUGCCUGUGAACUUAGGUAAAUGCCAUACUAAGUAUCUUUUUCACCAUAGUUCUCUUACCUGUGAAAUUGAGGUAAUAGUAUGGCACACCUCAGGAGGAGGAUAGAAUUAAAUGCAACAAUGUAUGUGGAGUGCUUAGCAUUUUACAAUAAAUAUUAGUUGUCUAUUUUAGUAAUUAAGUUGUUUAAAAUAGAUUGCUCCUAGUAAGUUACUGUUCAGAAAAAAAUAUUUCUUCACCUAAUAUGACCUUGAAUGCCCCUGGAUGAAAAUAUUUAGAAAACUCAAUGAAGGACAGUCACACUUACAGUGGAUCAUGGAACUUAAGUAGCCAGAGUGAGUUUAAGCAUGAUGUGGUCACAGCUGUGCUUUAUUUACCUUAUUUACUUAGGGAAUUCUCUGGGAUGCACUCCUGUUUUGUCAGCUGAGUGUUCAUAGAGGCUGCCCUCAUGACCAAGUGGCUGUUAGUCCUCAGCCGACCCUCUUUGCAUGUGCCCAUCCCAUGUAGAAAAAGGCUACAGAAACCCUAAAUUUCAUGUUUGUGUCCCACAGUGUCCAAAACGAGAUCACCAUCUAAGAUUCGAAGAUUGACUUUCCUUGUGAUUAAACCACAACCCAACUAAAACCAACCAAUAUGCCCAGGGUAAACCAUGGAAGUAGCAGUUGGCUUAGGCCAAGAUUAACUGAAUAAAAAUAGUUGAACAGGUGGACUAUGAUUAACCCACUUGCUCCUAUGAGGGGCCUUGCCUUAGAAAUGGAGGUAAGUUUUUAAGAACUUUGAAUUCUCUGUUUAGAGACAAGAUAGAGAGGGAGAGACACAAACAGAGGACUUUGUGAAUUCAGGUAUAUGAAUGAAGCAUUGGGAGGAAAAUAUUCCUCAAGUAGAUUUUCAUAUUUCUAUGUUAAUUUAACAUUUUCCAGACAUACACAUUGAGUUCUCACCUUUAUAGACACAGUAUGCACUUUCAGCUUGAUAUCAAGCAUUCCAGCCAAACUAAUCCCUGUACUCAAGCACAACCAUUAAUGAGCUGCAAGAUUUUCAAUAAGUCACAUCUGUUCCCUGGGCAUCAAAGUUGUCCAGUUAAAAAAAAAAAAAAGAAAAGAAAAGGCUUGGGGCUGGGGCUAGGACUCAGGGGUAGCACACCUGCCUAGCUUGUAUGAGGCACUGAGUUUGUUUCUCAGCACCACAUAUAAAUAAAUAAAUAAGUAAAAAGGUCUAUCAACAACUAAAAAAAUAAAAAUUGAAGUUUAAAAAAAAAAGGAGUCUGAGGGAGAUGAACUCAAAAUUCCCAUUAGUUCCAUGGGUCUCCAAGAACACAAUGCAUUUCCUUUAUAAAUGGGGAAGAUAUCUGUUAAGCAAUCUCCCAACUUCUGUUCUGAAAAUUACACAAAAUAACCCAAGCUCCUUUUAUCUUUCAUCACUAGGACUAUUUUCUAUCCCUUUAAUCUUUUUGUUGAUAUUCUAUGGACCUUCUUCAGUUUCUCCACAUUCCAUUCUUUAUAUGAAAUUUCUAUCAAAAAAAGUCAGAGAUAUCAAUAAUGUUUCCUAAGUAAGAAGUGAUCCAUUUCUCCAUUCAAAAAAGGUCAUUGUGAAUUUUGCCUUUGUGUUUAGGAAUAUUAUUUUUAUUUAAAAUUCCCAUCUUAGAUGAUUUUGCACGGAGUUUAAAAUACACUGUUUUGUUUUCAAUUUAAGGUCAUUUUUAUUUGUUGUAAACUUUAAAUUCAAUAAAAUAUACAAUGCUCAUUAUCCACUCACUAAAUUAACCUGUGUAACUCAAAUUGUUAACAAAAACCCAGAAACUUCACAUCAUUCCAGAAUGUCCUCAUGUUCCUUCCAAGUCAAUCAUUACUCCUGUGAUCCAAAAGAACAAUUAUUCUAAUUUUUCCCAACAUAGAUUAAAUUUGCCAGUUGUAGAAUUUCAUCUAAAUAAAAUUAAGCAAUAUGUGCUUGUUUAUAUGGAAAGGCUACCUUUGUCCGAAUUCAAUUGAAUGUUUGUGUCCUGAAACUUAUGCAUUGACUACUCAGUUCUACAG
rnacentral:lncRNA from 1 species